AUUGACCGCUGGCGGCCGGCCUAACACAUGCAAUUCGAGCGAGCGGCGGACGGGUGAGUAAUGUAUGGGGACUGCCCGAUCGAGGGGGAUAACUCCUGGCAACGGUGGCUAAUACCGCAUACUGUCGUCUAUCCCAUAUGGGAUUCGCUAGUAGGUAAGGUAAUGGCUUACCUAGGCGCCUAUCUCUAGCUGGUCUGAGAGGAUGAUCAGCCACACUGGGACUGAGACAAGGCCCAGACGCCUACGGAGGCAGCAGUGGGGAAUAUUGCACAAUGGGCGCAAGCCUGAUGCAGCCAUGCCGCGUGUAGGAAGAAGGCCCUAGGGGUGUAAAGUACUUUCAGUCGUGAGGCGUUACCGACAGAAGAAGCACCGGCUAACUCCGUGCCAGCAGACGCGGUAAUUC
rnacentral:rRNA from 1 species